UGACAUCCCCCUCCACUUAAUGUGGAGGGAUCCGUCAGUUAUUGUGUUUUGUCCUGAGGCGGAGCAGAGUGGGCGGGACCAGGAUUCGCCAGGACCAGCGCGUCAUCGCUAUAAAAGGGAGUCGGCUUCUCCACCCAGCAAGGCUCUACAGAGAACUUCUCCGGUUAUCACUGAUUUCAGAGAUGCCGUCGACCACCGAGGGGGAUACCCGCUUGUCGCUGUUUGGCUUUGUUUAUUUGUUUGGGUUGUUCAAUAAAGAACAUAUUCUUUAUUUGA